rnacentral:rRNA from 1 species
UACGGAGGGUGCAAGCGUUAUCCGGAUUCACUGGGUUUAAAGGGUGCGUAGGUGGGUCUGUAAGUCAGCGGUGAAAUCUCCGGGCUUAACCCGGAACUGCCAUUGAUACUAUAGAUCUUGAAUUGUCUGGAGGUAAGCGGAAUAUGUCAUGUAGCGGUGAAAUGCUUAGAUAUGACAUAGAACACCAAUUGCGAAGGCAGCUUAGACUACGG